rnacentral:lncRNA from 1 species
UGUGGAGUAAGGAUUGUUCUAGGUCAUGGGAUAAAAAUUGUAUAAAGAAAGCACAAAUUUUAGGUAUUGAAAAUGUUAUUAAUGAUACUUUUUCCAUUAAACAUAAACUGCAAGAUAUCAAAUCUAAACUUUGUGAAAAAGAUAAAAAUGAGUGGGUUGAAAAAUUGUUUAAUGACAGAAAUCAAUGUAAUGGUAAUAAAUUACGUAUUUAUAGAGAGUAUAAACAUGUUUUAGAAUUUAGUUCUUAUGUAAAAUUAGUUCGUAACAGGCAGCAUAGACGUGUUUUGUCAAAUUUUAGAAGUGGCUGUUUACCACUGGCAGUUGAAACGGGUAGAUACACCAAGCCAAAAAUUCCUUUAAAUGAGCGCACUUGUAUAUAUUGUACAGAUAAUUGUGUAGAAGAUGAAAAACAUUUUUUAUUAGGGUGCGAUUUUUAUGCAGAUUUAAGAUAUGAUUUAAUGAAAAAAUCUGGUGAUAUUUGUGAUUCUUUUAAUGAUCUUGAUUUACAGG